UAAUGAAACUCAAGGCUACUUUUUCAGCAGGAUGUGGGCCAAGCUGAUGAUGCUCAAAAAUUGAUUUAUUGGAGAAGAUACCCAACCAUUGGCCUACUAGAUCCACUGGACUUGACGUUCACAGAUGUUUUGAUCUGGAUAAGACAUAAUUUUGAUAUUGAGAGCAACUGGUGGGAAAUCAGUGACGAAAAGUGUGCCUGUUACAGGAAUACUCUCCACGAAAUAUAUAGGAACGAAGACAUGGCAAUGCGGUUUUCUAAAAAUGGAUCAGUUACUAUCCUGCGGCUUCCUUUAAUGUUUAAUUUUAAACCGUAUCGAAAACAUGGGAAAAACGUACGUGAGAUCCGACUCAAGGAAAAUAACCAAUAAGAAUCAACUAUAAACAUGCUUUAUUACUAUAUUUCCACUUCGUACCAGAUCAUUUGAAGAACAACAAAAACCACAAAUUUCACAAAAAAACUGGAGUUACCUCAGGGGUAAUGGUAAG